rnacentral:rRNA from 1 species
ACGGGUGAGUAACACGUAGACAACUUACCUUAUAGAGGGGGAUAGCCCGCCGAAAGGCGGGGUAAUACCGCGUAAGAUAUUUCCUUGGCAUCUUGGAAAUAAGAAACAUCCGCAAGGAUGGCUAUAAGAGGGGUCUGCGGCCUAUCAGCUAGUUGGUGAGGUAACGGCUCACCAAGGCUACGACGGGUAUCCGGCCUGAAAGGGUGAUCGGACACACUGACACUGAGACACGGGUCAG